UUUUGUCAAUUUUUUUUAAAAUUUUUAUCAAAUCAUGUUUGGUUGGGGGUUAAGGAGUGGAAUAACCCCUUAACCCCCAUAUUAUUUCCAAACACCUUCAAAAAUGGAUGAGAUUAGCUAAUCCCACCUCAAAUGGACUAUUUCAGAUUAGCUAACCCCACCUAACCCUACCAAAUCCGAACCAAACACUAUUUUCUAUUCAUAAUAACCCACUAUCCUUCUUAUCCCACAUACUCCAACCAAACACUAUUUUUUACUAUUCUGGACUAACUCAACCCCCAACCAGACACAAAAAUACUCUAACUCCACCUUAACCCUGAACUUAACCUUAUCCCUGGAAUAACUAGUUUUUUCUUAACCCCGAACCAAACGGUUAAAAAAGUUAUGUCAACUCUUGAAUGGUCCAUAACUAUAAUAUUAAAUUACAAUUUUGAUUCUUAAAUUUUUUAACUAACAAAAUAAUAAUUUGUAUGUGAAGGUGAGAGUGAUAUAAUAAUAUUAUGAUUAAUAAUACUAUAAUAAUUAAUGUGCCAUAUUACUUGUCCUUAUACACGUCAAUAUUUAGUUAACUGAAUUGAAAUUGUGAUUUGAGCAAAAAUUAUACCCUAUUCGCACAAGUCUUUGCAAAUAUAGUGAAUUACAAAUAUAUUUCUAUAAAAUUCAAUUUUUAUAUAUUGUUUUUACAAAAGUCCUAACAUUUUCAAAUAUGUCCCCGUCGUUAGAAUUCAUUAAAAAAAAUUUAUUAAUCAUAGAUUAAAUACUUAAUUUUGGUUAGUUUAUGAGAUAACUUGACAUUUUUGCCGCUCUUAUAUUACUGUUGUGGUUUUCGAAGGGACAUCUGUAAUAGAAAAAAAUUGACAUUUUACUUAAAAUAUAAACAGUAUUAUAAUGGUAAGAAAUCAAAAGGGCAUAUAUAAAAAUAUUAGAACUUUUGCAGAAACAAUGCAUGAAAGUUGAACUUUAUAGCAGUGUAUUUGUAAUUUAGUAUAUUUGUAAGGACCUGUAUGCAUUUA
rnacentral:lncRNA from 1 species